rnacentral:rRNA from 1 species
UAGGGAAUAUUGCAAAAUGGGCGAAAGCCCGAUGCAGCAACGCCGCGUGGGCGAUGAAGGCCUUCGGGUCGUAAAGCCCUUUUUGAGGGGAUGAGGAAGGACAGUACCCUCAGAAUAAGCCUUGGCUAACUACGUGCCAGCAGCCGCGGUAAUACGUAGGGGGCAAGCGUUGUCCGGAUUUACUGGGUGUAAAGGGCGCGCAGGCGGAAUGGAAAGUCAGUGGUGAAAUCCUACAGCUUAACUGUAGAACUGCCUUUGAUACUUUCAUUCUUGAGUUCGGGAGAGAGAGACGGAAUUCCAGGUGUAGUGGUGAAAUACGUAGAUAUCUGGAAGAACACCAGUUGCGAAGGCGGUCUCUUGAUCCGAUACUGACGCUGAGGCGCGAAAGCGUGGGGAGCAAACA